GCAACGUGUCAAAAGCAAACUUGAUGAUCUGCCUUCUACCAAACUCAUUGACUUCCUCAGAGGUAAAAUCCAAACGUUGGAGAAAGUCAAAAAAGAGAUAGUGGGUGUUUUUGGGAAGACUGGAGCUGGUAAGAGCUUCUUGAUUAACACCAUCUUGGGUGAGACAAAAUUGCUGCCCUCUGGAAACCAAGGGGCAUGCACCUCGGUCAUGAUUCAGGUGGAGGCCAAUAUGACAGACUCGAAGUACAUCGCAGAGAUUGAGUUCAUGACAGAGGAGGAAUGGAAAGAAGAGCUAUGGUCCAUCUUCAGAGACAGAUCUUAUGAGGAUGGAAAUGAUGAAGACCAGG
rnacentral:lncRNA from 1 species